GCAUGUCUAUUUUUAGUUCCACCCCAAAGCUUGGCUGAUUGGCACAAUCACAGAAGCGCUAUGGUGUUAUACCAGCUCAGAACGAAUAAAUGACUUGGCAGGAAGCGUUUGUCAAAUCAUACCGUAAGACUGGAUUUGGCGCAAUCACCUUCGUGUAGGGUGGUGACUGAGAAGAGGAAACUUCAGUCACUCUCCUGUUUCUUGGUCGCCAGAACAGCCCUGAGCCAUCUGGCCCUAAGAUAACAGACUGUCAGCCGGACCUAGACAUCUGAGACACAGACGGAGUGCGGAGCUGAGACCCACACACCAGCCGACCCAGUGAAUGAACGUUACAUCCUAUCAUUCCCCAGACAGCAAACAGAUGCACCAAGUGGCCGUGGACCCUCACACUCGGGCUCUCCUGGGGAAAAUCAGCUUACACACUGCAGGGUAUUUUACAACCACCUGAAGGCAGAAAUGCAUUGUCCUGCAGCAAUAAUGAGUAUCUGUGUGAUUGGGUUGCAG